AGAUAGGCUGUGACUUAAUUGUUUUAGCCAAGUGCUGUUAAAUCUCACGCUCCUUUUUCUUGACUCAGGAAUACAGAAUAUAAAUAUAGAGUGCCCUCCUAUCUCCCCAGUGUCAUUGCCUUGCUCUGUGAACAAACCCAGAGGUCCAACGUUUGUGGAAGGCCGUCUUCUACUCACUUCAGAAGACGAAUAUGACAAUGUGACCCAUUCCCUGAGAUGUUUUACAACUUGAGGGAAAAAAGUGUGACUCUGAGAUGUACCAGCUGUUAGGCCAGAGACAACCCUCAGAUCACCUGGGACUUGCUCCUUGUUGCCUCCUCUUUGAUCUUUGCAUCAGAGGGCCCUGCCAGUCUCUGUCCUCACAGUACCCAGUCUCUUGGAGCCCAAAUGGACUACGACAGUGCCCAAGAAAGACAUAAGGGGAAGAGUACCAGCUGAGAAUACAUACCAAAGAUGCUGUCUCCAGCACUGCAUGGGACAAGGAUGAAGCCUCAUCAGCCAGCUGAACUGGAACAAGUAUAUUCUAAAACUCCAUCCUAUUUUAAUUUUUCUAUUUUUAAUGCAGAGUUAAUCCAUAUCAGCUUUCUUAACCAUAAAGCCAUUCCAAGCGCUAACUUUUGUUUAAUUAGCACUUUGCAAAUUAAAACUUCAGUGUGAAAAGUAUUUUAAGCAUAUUGGAUGGAACAAAGUAUAGUUUGAGAAUGUUAUCCAUCAUAUAGGAAUGGAUCAGACAGAACACUGUGAAAUCAACAAUGUGCUUUUAUUAAUAUUCCUCAAUCCCAGUCAUUAUCCAAUAAACCUCAUUUCUUCCUUCUUUUAUAUGCUUUGACACUUGGGAUCAUCACUAAAGCCCCUUUCAAGCUUCAACAUUCCAUUUUUUCCCAGACGUUUGCUAGUCUAGUCAAUUUAUUAAGAACUGAAAUAUAAAGAGGUAAAAUGUAAAAUAAUCUGAGUAGUAGAAAGAACACUGAAUUUAAGAAUCAGAAAAUCUCUUUCAGUCAAGAAUGUGUACAUCUGACUUUGUAAACUUGGGGCAUAAAUCAUUUUAACCUCUCUAGGUUCUAUUACUAUCACUAUUUUGGGGUGUGAAUAAAUUAUAAGUCUAGACUCACCUAUGAUGUCAGAAUGAAUUAAGCAGAUAUGGAAGCACUUUUGAAACAUAAAUUGCGAUUGCAACUGUCCAAGGCCACAAAAGAAAUUACUAAAAUAACUCAAAGGAAGUGUUAUAUAUCAAGGAUUCAAAACACAAGAAACAUCCCUAAAAUAUAACAUUCUAACUGAUUUUCUUAAAGAUUGAUCUUUUUUAAAAGUCACAUAAGGGUAAUGAUUGAGGAAUGAUCUGCCACAUCUUGCAGCCUGUGAUGUAUUGUUCAGUGAUAUCAUUGUGGCCAACGAGGCACCAAAGAGCAGGCGAUCACAGUGACAUCAUGGCAGGAUCACUGACAAUGCUCGUGAUGUGACGAUUCUUUAUCAUUUAUAUGUUGGGCUGGUUAUAAAGUAUUUAAUUGGUAUUGUUCACAUUUAUAUCAUGUGAUGAGACAUUCUUGUCACCAUUAUUCAGUUUCUGAAUAUUCUUGGUGAAUGAUCUUCAGGGAGCCCUGGCUUCUGACCGAGGGUUUCUAUCCUUUGUCAAGCCACCCUAUUCCCUCACUUUUCAAUCACUUUACCUAUGACUAAUAGAAAGUUCAAAGCAAAAACCUAUUGAUUAAUUUUCAACUAGCAACAGAUAAUGAAACACAUUUUGCAUGUACAUUUUUGGAUUCCCAUUCUCCUGACCAAAGUAAAUUGGCUGGAAAUAAAAGACAUGUAAAAAAUCUCAUGCAGUUGUACUAAUUGAUCUGAGAGGAAAAAUGUAAAAUAUGUAGAUACCUUGAUUGUCUCCUCUUCAUCCCAUUGACUAGGGAGGGAUUCCACACUACGGUUAUGGGGAUGGCCCAAGAUAUGACAUCUAAUACUGGACAGAUGAGAUUGACAGUAGUGUACAGUCCAGGGGAGGAGAGGAAGAUACUGCACCAUGCAGGGCUGAAUGGGGAUGUGCUCAGGAACAGAGUGAAUAAGCAGACCCUGUGGAAAGCAGGCUUUAUAGUAGCAAGAGCAUGGAGUGACUCCUUGUUUCUCAGAUGGAUGUGAUCGGCUUGUUUGAAUAAUUCAGUGGGCUGGCAGGGAACUGAAGUCUACUACUCAGGGAUAAGCAGGCACUGUGCCUUGUCCUUGUAAUAAGGAGGGUUGUUUGGCUAGGACACCUUAUCAGUAGGAGCGAAGUGUGUAGGAUGAUGCAGUUAGGACAUCAGAGGCCCUCCCAGUUUAGAUGUCAAAGUAGCACAUCAUUGUUAUUUUAAGCCUUACACUACAACAGACAUCAUAUAAAGACACUUACCAAUUUGGACCAGGAGGCACAGCUCCCAUAACUUCUAUCGUCCAUCACUUUUUACCCCUGCUCGUAAGUCAAACAAUAAAGGAAAGUCCUCUCAAAGUCUUAGACAGAAUUAGGAGUGCUAAGAGCAUUGUUGAGGCCAUUCCUAGCCUUCCUUCUUGUUCAGAAACUACAGAUCGAAAGUCAAGGGGCCCUCCUUGGCAGCCUGCAGCUGGUGGCUGCCCUGUCUCCAGCAAAGGUUUUUCUGACUGUUCAGGCACACAACUGUGACUCCCCACGAGCAGACCCACUUACGUUUACCAAGACAAGAUAACAGAGUCAAUUAGCCUUGUCAGUCACUGUGACUAUAACUUAGAAGAAUAGAAGCCCACUGAUCACACUUAAUGAAAAUACAAGGUGACAAGAAAGUCAUCUGCAGCUGUUUAUGGACAAGAAUUUGGGGAAAAUGUAUUAAGAACAGUUAUAAUUAGAGAUACACACAAAAACAGAUAUGCUAUAUGCUAUAUUAUAAUAAAAUUGACAUUAUAAUAUUUACUAUAUUUACAUACUGAAUACAUUUAAAACAAUAAAAUUAAGUGAAAACAUUUUUGUUGUGCUUUUCUGUUCAGUGAUACUGUCUGGUUUUUUUAUUAAAGUUUUAAAUGUUAAAUGAUGACAUUUCAAAUACACAGCCAAGUACCAAAAUUAUUAAUAGACACUCAUGUACCAACCUACCAUAUUAACAGACAUUAACAUUUUGCUUUACUUGCCUUAGAAUCAAUUUUCUCUGUUUUAAAAAGCAGAAAGCAUUAAGCACAGAUAAAGCACCCCCAUCUCAUCCUCUACCUUUCUCUCCAGAGGUAACCAUCACCCUGAAGUUAGUAUGCUUCUUUUCAUGUAUGUACAUUUAAACUUAUGUUAAUAUUAUAUAGACAUGUCCAUAAAUUAUAUAUACUGUUAUUUUGUGUGCUUUAAAUAUUUAUACAAAUACUAGAAACCAUAUGGUACAUUUCCUUUUGUAACUUGCUUUUCUUGCCAACAUGUUUUGACAUUUAUCUGUGUUAAUAUAUUUAGAUCAAGUUUGUUCAUUUUAACUUUCUGUAGUAUUUUAUUACAUGAAUAAAUGAGUUUAUUUACUCAUUUGCUUACCGAGAA